rnacentral:rRNA from 1 species
UACGUAGGGGGCAAGCGUUGUCCGGAAUCAUUGGGCGUAAAGCGCGCGUAGGCGGCCCGGUAAGUCCGCUCUGAAAGUCCAGGGCUCAACCCUGGAAAGCGGGUGGAUACUGCCGGGCUAGAAUCCGGAAGAGGCGAGUGGAAUUCCUGGUGUAGCGGUGGAAUGCGCAGAUAUCAGGAGGAACACCGGUGGCGAAGGCGGGAUCCUGGGCCAGUACUGACGCUGAGGAGCGAAAGCGUGGGGAGCAAACAGG